rnacentral:rRNA from 1 species
CGGGGAACUGAAACAUCUAAGUACCCGGAGGAAGAGAAAGCAAAUGCGAUUUCCUGAGUAGCGGCGAGCGAAACGGAAACAGCCCAAACCAAGAGGCUUGCCUCUUGGGGUUGUAGGACACUCAAUACGGAGUGAUCAAGAAACGGAGUAGGUGAACUGUCUGGAAAGGCAGGCCGAAGAAGGUAACAGCCCUGUAGCUGAAACUUCGUUUCCUCCAGAGUGGAUCCUGAGUACGGCGGGACACGUGAAACCC